CCUANGGGGGGCAGCAGUCGAGAAUUUUUCUCAAUGAGCGAAAGCUUGAAGGAGCGACGCCGCGUGGGGGAUGAAGGGCUUCGGCUCGUAAACCCCUGUCAUUUGCGAGCAAACCUUUCCACCUAAUACGUGGGAAGCUGAUAGUAGCGAAAGAGGAAGGGACGGCUAACUCCGUGCCAGCAGCCGCGGUAAUACGGAGGGGGCUAGCGUUGUUCGGAAUCAUUGGGCGUAAAGGGCGCGUAGGCGGCCGAUCAAGUCGGAGGUGAAAUCCCUCGGCUCAACUGAGGAAUUGCCUUCGAUACUGUUCGGCUUGAGUCCUGGAGAGGGUAGCGGAAUUCCCGGUGUAGCGGUGAAAUGCGUAGAGACCGGGAAGAACACCAGUGGCGAAGGCGGCUACCUGGACAGGUACUGACGCUGAAGCACGAAAGCUAGGGGAGCAAACAGGAUUAGAUACCCCUNUANUC
rnacentral:rRNA from 1 species